rnacentral:lncRNA from 1 species
GUUAAUAUGACAGGCUGGCAAGCAGGUGGCUAGAGACUUUACUUUGCUGUGGAUAACUUCCAGUGCUGGUGAGUGUGUGGAUUUGAGGAGGAAGGAGGCAAAAGGACUCUGCAAAGGGCUGUCCCAGAUCCCAUGAGGGUGUGUUCUCACUGACCCUUCCUGAUGGCGUCUUUCAGGCCAAGUUCCCUGAUGGUCUGUGCUGUCUCACCUCGGGGUGUGUUUGCAGCAUCAGAGUGAUGGACUGGGGGAAGCCUGGGCAGCAGUAAGCUCCUCCAGCCUUGGUGACCGCUCUGUGUUUUCAGCUAUCUGUCAACACAAACUUACCCUACACAACAUGGUGCUGCAGAAAAGGAGGAGGACAGGACAGGCCCAAGCAAAAAUCAGAGGCUGGAUGUCCACUUUGUGCUAAAGAAUGAGAUUUAAAGUCAAGGAGAACUGCAGUAAUUGUAUUCAAAGGGCAAAGAAAACAGCAGCAUGUUCACCAUGGAAAUAAGCCACCUGAAAAACCAAAUGGAUCCCUGGUGUAAUUUUAUGAGCUUCCGCAAAAUUAGUGCAGGAUCAACAGCAGGCAUUGAAUUGAAAGUUUUCAGGUCAGCAGUGUGUGGGCAUGGGCAAAGCAUUCAAACCCAAGGGGCAGCACAACAUGGAAGGGGGGAGGAAAUUGCUGCUGCUUAUAUUUGCAGAAUAAGGGAGAUGAAGAUGUCCUCCUGUGAGGCUGCACGGGGAACAAUGGUAAAUAAUAGAAAACUGAAAUAUUGGUGGAAUUCCUCUUGCCCCUGGCAUUUUCUGUAGUGCUACAGAGCUCUACAUAACUUAGUUCUCAUCUAUCUGUGAUUUAUUGUAAAAUGUCCUUCUCUUAUACGUUCUCCGUCUCUUCUUAAUGAAGAGACAGGCAUCAUGAGAGUAGUUUGUAAUAGAUUUAUUAGCCAGUCAUAUGCAUUUAAUUAACAUAUAGCACUGUAUUCUACUUACAAGCAAAAAUUAAUAACAAAGAGAAACAGAUGGACAUUUUUGUCUUGCAGAAAAUGAAGGCACACUUAAUUCUCUUUACUGAUGAUGUAAUCCCAGACUGAUCUGCUGCCAGAGGUUUUGGUGUUAAAUUCAUCUGCUGAAUUAUUCAGGGUGUAAAGAGUAUUUGUAUCAAGUUUGCCAACGUAAUGGCAAGCAGCCUGUCUAGGAAGGAUGCAGCUUCAUUCAUGCGCUGGGUGAGCUGUCUGCCUCACCUGCCCUCUCCCUUUCCUCCUCCUGACAGUGUUGUUUAAAGUAUUUUCUUAGUAUAUGGAGAAACCUUACCCAGGAAGCCAGAUAGACAGCAGGGCUGUUCAUGCCAGCAGUAUGUUUGUGCAGGCUGCGUGUGACCCCAGUGAUACUCUGCCAAGGUCAGGUGGAAGUUGGCAAAUCAGUCACACUUACACGGGGCCCCACUGGGAUGGCUCCUCCACCGUGUUAGCAGCUGUGAGCGCUGACUGCAGUAAUACUCUCCCAGGCCUUGCAUGAUGUUACCAGAUAGUUCUUUAGCAUCAUAACUACUUUGAUCUGAUUAAUGCGAAGGUUUCCUCAGGAAUCAGUGGCAGGAUGCUUUGGAGUGUGUGAACCUGUCAUUAAUUAGCUACGGGUGGUCUUUUUGUGUUAGAGCAAUAAUAAAUAUGACUUCAUAUUACUGAAUCCUCCUGGA